AACGAACGCUGGCGGCAGGCCUAACACAUGCAAGUCGAACGCCGUAGCAAUACGGAGUGGCAGACGGGUGAGUAACACGUGGGAACGUACCCUUCGGUUCGGAAUAACUCAGGGAAACUUGAGCUAAUACCGGAUACGUCCGAGAGGAGAAAGAUUUAUCGCCGAGGGAUCGGCCCGCGUCUGAUUAGCUUGUUGGUGAGGUAACGGCUCACCAAGGCGACGAUCAGUAGCUGGUCUGAGAGGAUGAUCAGCCACAUUGGGACUGAGACACGGCCCAAACUCCUACGGGAGGCAGCAGUGGGGAAUAUUGGACAAUGGGCGCAAGCCUGAUCCAGCCAUGCCGCGUGAGUGAUGAAGGCCUUAGGGUUNUAAAGCUCUUUCGGCGGGACGAUAAUGACGGUACCCGCAGAAGAAGCCCCGGCUAACUUCGUGCCAGCCGCCGCGGUAAC
rnacentral:rRNA from 1 species